rnacentral:rRNA from 1 species
UCUGGGUCCAACCUCCCACCCGUGUCUAUCGUACCUUGUUGCUUCGGCGGGCCCGCCGUUUCGACGGCCGCCGGGGAGGCCUUGCGCCCCCGGGCCCGCGCCCGCCGAAGACCCCAACAUGAACGCUGUUCUGAAAGUAUGCAGUCUGAGUUGAUUAUCGUAAUCAGUUAAAACUUUCAACAACGGAUCUCUUGGUUCCGGCAUCGAUGAAGAACGCAGCGAAAUGCGAUAAGUAAUGUGAAUUGCAGAAUUCAGUGAAUCAUCGAGUCUUUGAACGCACAUUGCGCCCCCUGGUAUUCCGGGGGGCAUGCCUGUCCGAGCGUCAUUGCUGCCCUCAAGCACGGCUUGUGUGUUGGGCCCCCGUCCCCCUCUCCCGGGGGACGGGCCCGAAAGGCAGCGGCGGCACCGCGUCCGGUCCUCGAGCGUAUGGGGCUUUGUCACCUGCUCUGUAGGCCCGGCCGGCGCCAGCCGACACCCAACUUUAUUUUUCUAAGGUUGACCUCGGAUCAGGUAGGGAUACCCGCUGAACUUAAGCAUAUCAAUAAGCGGAGGA